ACUCCUACCGGGAGGCAGCAGUGGGGAAGUCUUGGACAAUGGGCGCAAGCCUGAUCCAGCCAUGCCGCGUGAGUGAAGAAGGCCCUAGGGUCGUAAAACUCUUUCGCCAGGGAUGAUAAUGACAGUACCUGGUAAAGAAACCCCGGCCUAACUCCGUGCCAGCAGCCGCGGUAAUACGGAGGGGGUUAGCGUUGUUCGGAAUUACUGGGGCGUAAAGCGUACGUAGGCGGAUUAGUCAGUCAGAGGUGAAAUCCCCAGGGGCUCAACCCUGGAACUGCCUUUUGAUACUGCUAGUCUUGAGUUCGAGAGAGGUGAGUGGAAUUCCAAGUGUAGAGGUGAAAUUCGUAGAUAUUUGGAGGAACACCAGUGGCGAAGGCGGCUCACUGGCUCGAUACUGACGCUGAGGUACGAAAGUGUGGGGAGCAAACAGGAUUAGAUACCCUGGUAGGAUAGCG
rnacentral:rRNA from 1 species